rnacentral:lncRNA from 1 species
CUUACAGCCAACAGGGUGAGUGAUAUUAAAUGCUUAAAGUCACAAAGGGAAAAGGCACUCUUGCACAUCACAGAAUGUGGCGUGCGGUGUCUCUGAGUGUUUAUCACAACAGACAGAACACACGGCACAAGUCAAUUGAAGAGACAUUUCUCUUAAACUUCUGUUAUCCCUUCUCCUGGUGCUCUUCUGAAGAAAGCAGCAGGAGAAGAGAUGACAGGAAAGGAAAUCAAGUAAGGUCAGCCAAAAAAUUGUAAGCUCUGUCCUCUGUCCCUCUGUUGACUCUAGUGCCACUUAGAGGCUGAGCUAAUCUUAGGGAAGAAACAUUGAACAAAGUGAGAGAGUAAGGUUUUAACCUCAAGUAGCUUAUAUC